rnacentral:lncRNA from 1 species
UGGCAGUACCAGCAGUGCCCCAGUCCCCAUAGUCUCCUGUUUCAGUCGUUAAAAGGCGAUUUUGACUCUCCCUUUGUAGAAAUCAUACAGCUUCUGUAUCUGAUCAGAAGGUCAACAACACAAUCAUCUGAUGUUAGGCUAGAGGUAAGAACAGCCGGCUCUGGGGUUCCCGGAGGAAGGAAUUGCCAAUCUCGCCUGAAAGAACUGGUGUGAAGCCACUGGCGGAGUAUCCAGGGGCCGAGGGCUGAUGCAUUUCUCCUCAUCCACCUCACUCUGACCCCGGAUGCCAGUUAACCCAGGAGAGGUCCCUGAACACAACCCCGAUGCAAGCAAAGGUGGUGGACAAUACGGAGGAGGAUGAAGAGGCAUGGUCCACCACAACAGGUUGCCCAGAGAGGCUGUAGAGAGUUUAAAAGGAAGGAGUGAGAGGGAUCACCAGACCAUGAAAAGGCUGAAGGACAAAACCGUGGAGAAAGUACAAGCAUACCUGGGAGAUACCGAGGGUUCAGAUCCAGACCACCACAAUCAAGCAUCCCCUGUGGGAGGAAGGAGGAGCUCAAGGUCAGGAGAGCACUGUUCCCUGGGAGUGUAAAAUCAAUGGAUGACAUCCUUCCUGAGACUUAAGAAAGUCCAG